rnacentral:rRNA from 1 species
CUGAACGAACAGGAGGGAAUGACCUUCCAGCGACUACUCAAGAUUCCGGUGGACGAGAAGCGAACAAAGACUCGAUUUAUGCCUAAACUCUCAACAACUCUCCCUCAAAGAUUUUCGCCUCAGUUGAAUACAUCAGUGUAGCUUAUUAGAUAAAAGGUCGACGCGGGCUCUGCCCGUUGCUGGGAUGAUUCAUGACAACUCGACGGAUCGCACGGCCAUCGUGCCGGCGACACAUCAUUCAAAUUUUUGCCCUAUCAACUUUCGAUGGUAGGAUAGUGGCCUACCAUGGUGGUGACAGGUGACGGAGAAUUAGGGUUCGAUUCUGGAGAGGGAGCCUGAGAAACGGCUACCACAUCCAAGGAAGGC